GACGAACCGUGCGAACGUUGUUCGGAUUCACUGGGCUUAAAGGGCGCGUAGGCGGACAAUCAAGUCAGGGGUGAAAGCCUCCAGCUCAACUGGAGAAGUGCCUUUGAUACUGACUGUCUCGAGGGAGGUAGGGGCAUGUGGAACUUCCGGUGGAGCGGUGAAAUGCGUAGAUAUCGGAAGGAACGCCGGUGGCGAAAGCGACGUGCUGGACCUCUUCUGACGCUGAGGCGCGAAAGCUAGGGAGCAAACGGG
rnacentral:rRNA from 1 species